AAUCAACGCUGGCGGCGUGCCUAACACAUGCAAGUCGAACGCGAAAGCCCCGCAAGGGGCAAGUAGAGUGGCAAACGGGUGAGUAAUGCGUGGGUGACCUGCCUUCGAGCGGGGGAUAACGUUCCGAAAGGGACGCUAAUACCGCAUAACAUCCUGCCCUUGAACGGGUGGAGAUCAAAGCUGGGGAUUCGCAAGAACCCGGCACUUGAAGAGGGGCCCGCGUCUGAUUAGCUAGUUGGUGAGGUAACGGCUCACCAAGGCAACGAUCAGUAUCCGGCCUGAGAGGGCGGACGGACACACUGGGACUGAGACACGGCCCAGACUCCUACGGGAGGCAGCAGUGGGGAAUUUUGCGCAAUGGGGGAAACCCUGACGCAGCAACGCCGCGUGGAGGAUGAAGUCCCUUGGGACGUAAACUCCUUUCGACCGGGAAGAUUAUGACGGUACCGGUGGAAGAAGCCCCGGCUAACUUCGUGCCAGCCGCCGCUGUAAU
rnacentral:rRNA from 1 species